CCGGGGGAACUGAAACAUCUAAAGUACCCGGAAGGAAAGGAAAUCAACAGAGAACUCCGUUAGUAGUGGCGAGCGAACGCGGACCAGCCGAGCCCUGAUGAAGUGAGCAGAAUGGCCUGGAAAGGCCAACCACAGCGGGUGACAGUCCCGUAUGCGAAGCUCGAGGGGACAUAUCAAGUAGGGCGGGACACGUGUAAUCCUGUCUGAAGAUCGGGGGACCACCCCCGAAGGCUAAGUACUCCUUGCUGACCGAUAGCGAACCAGUACCGUGAGGGGAAAGGUGAAAAGCACCCCGACGAGGGGAGUGAAACAGUACCUGAAACCGGACGCCUACAAGCAGUCGGAGGGGCCUUGAGCCCUGGACGGCGUACCUUUUGUAUAAUGGGGUCAACGACUUGGUCUAACGAGCGAGCUUAAGCCGAUAGGUGGAGGCGCAGCGAAAGCGAGUC
rnacentral:rRNA from 1 species